UAGGGAAUCUUCGGCAAUGGGGGGAACCCUGACCGAGCAACGCCGCGUGAGUGAAGAAGGUUUUCGGAUCGUAAAGCUCUGUUGUUAAGGAAGAACGAGUGUGAGAAUGGAAAGUUCAUGCUGUGACGGUACUUAACCAGAAAGGGACGGCUAACUACGUGCCAGCAGCCGCGGUAAUACGUAGGUCCCGAGCGUUGUCCGGAUUUAUUGGGCGUAAAGCGGGCGCAGGCGGUUAGAAAAGUCUGAAGUGAAAGGCAGUGGCUCAACCAUUGUAGGCUUUGGAAACUGUUUAACUUGAGUGCAGAAGGGGAAAGUGGAAUUCCAUGUGUAGCGGUGAAAUGCGUAGAUAUAUGGAGGAACACCGGUGGCGAAAGCGGCUCUCUGGUCUGUAACUGACGCUGAGGCUCGAAAGCGUGGGGAGCGAACAGG
rnacentral:rRNA from 1 species